GGUCCAAGUCCAAAGACAAAAGCAACAAAUUGUAGUAUGUCCCAAUACAAACAAAAAAAAAAAUACCAAAGAAAAAAUAGAAGACAAAAGAAAAAGAAACUCGAAAGGCUGCCUCAUAAGCAGUUGAUGGAAGUCGAAAAUCCCAAAGCCAAAUUCGAUGAGCUUGUAAGCACGACAAUGGAAAGAAAAAAAGACACAUUAAGGACAAGUAGAGAGAUGCGACAGUUCUAGCCCAAGGCAUGCGGCGAGAUUAAGGCAGAGGAGCGCUCGACCUCCCGUCUGCAACCACAGCGCCUUCCACCGAAAACAGAAUCUCCUCAACCCAGAAACGGUCUGAUGUCCAACGAAAUCCCAACGCCGCGAGUUGGUGAGCAACCCGAUUCUGCUCUAUGAAGCAAUGGCAGACUAUAGUCGCUGCAAAAAAGGUAAUUAAUUGCAACCUCCCCUCUGUAAUUAGUGCUCGGAUCUCUGACCGGUCAGCCUAUGUGCUAUUGAGUUUGCGAAUCACAUGCAGAUAGUCCCCUUCAAACACAACCUGAGCUAGACCAAGGUCCCGAGCGAAUUCCAAUACCGACAAGAGAGCCAACGCUUCUGCAGCAAAAGCCGACAAGACCUGACCAUGCAUCCUAGUACAAGCGCCAAGCACAUGGCGUUGGGCAUCUUGCACCACCACCCCCGAACAAGAAGAGUGGGAUCCCCUCUAUAUACAACAUUGAAAUUGGCCUUAACUAUAGGUGCGGUCGGAGGAUGCCAGCGUGCAGUACGCAAAACUGCCGGAACCGUUCCUGGCACGGCCAGCAUCGAUAGGCCACCCAUAUAGGAUUGAAUAAAGGAGACCGACUCAAUAGACGUCCAAACAAGGCCCUCGUGAUAGUACAUGUUGCGUGACCACCAUAGUGCCCAAAUCGUGGUACCAGCCAAGCAUACGAGCAGUCGAUUCCAAACUCAAAAUGACAAAAAGGCAAUCUCAAAGCACAUGAAUAGGCAUCUAAGGUAUAUUUAGGCAUCUAGGGAAAAAUUGUCGAUUGUAAAGGUUGUGUAAUGUGGGUACAUAAUUGCAAAGGAAUCUCCAAAUUGUUAUAUGUACUUUAGGAGGGACCCAAACCUUCCAAAUUGUUGUAAACAAA